CCCUUAGAUGUUCUGGGCCGCACGCGCGCUACACUGAUGCAUUCAACGAGUUUUGUUUGUUCCUUGGCCGAGAGGUCUGGGCAAUCUUUUGAACUUGCAUCGUGAUAGGGAUAGAUUAUUGCAAUUAUUAAUCUUGAACGAGGAAUUCCUAGUAAACGCAGAUCAUCAAUCUGCAUUGAUUACGUCCCUGCCCUUUGUACACACCGCCCGUCGCACCUACCGAUUGAAUGGUCCGGUGAAGCCUCGGGAUUGUGGUUGGUUUCCUUUAUUGGAGAUUGAUUGCGAGAACUUGUCUAAACCUUAUCAUUUAGAGGAAGGUGAAGUCGUAACA
rnacentral:rRNA from 1 species